rnacentral:tRNA from 1 species
GCUUUCAUCGUCCAAUGGUCAGGACGCCUGACUUUCACUCAGGUAACGCCGGUUCAACCCCGGCUGGAAGUACCA